rnacentral:rRNA from 1 species
ACGGCAGCACGGGAGCUUGCUCCUGGUGGCGAGUGGCGAACGGGUGAGUAAUGCGUCGGAACGUACCGAGUAAUGGGGGAUAACGCAGCGAAAGCUGUGCUAAUACCGCAUACGCCCUGAGGGGGAAAGUGGGGGAUCGCAAGACCUCACGUUAUUCGAGCGGCCGACGUCUGAUUAGCUAGUUGGUGGGGUAAUGGCCUACCAAGGCGACGAUCAGUAGCGGGUCUGAGAGGAUGAUCCGCCACACUGGAACUGAGACACGGUCCAGACCCCUACGGGAGGCAGCAGUGGGGAAUUUUGGACAAUGGGGGCAACCCUGAUCCAGCCAUUCCGCGUGAGUGAAGAAGGCCUUCGGGUUGUAAAGCUCUUUCAGCUGGAACGAAACGGUACGCUCUAACAUAGCGUGCUAAUGACGGUACCGGCAGAAGAAGCACCGGCUAACUACGUGCCAGCAGCCGCGGUAAUACGUAGGGUGCGAGCGUUAAUCGGAACUACUGGGCGUAAAGCGUGCGCAGGCGGAUUGUUAAGCAAGAUGUGAAAUCCCCGGGCUUAACCUGGGAAUGGCAUUUUGAACUGGCAGUCUAGAGUGCGUCAGAGGGGGGUGGAAUUCCACGUGCAGCAGUGAAAUGCGUAGAGAUGUGGAGGAACACCAAUGGCGAAGGCAGCCCCCUGGGAUGACACUGACGCUCAUGUACGAAAGCGUGGGUAGCAAACAGGAUUAGAUACCCUGGUAGUCCACGCCCUAAACGAUGUCAACUGGUUGUUGGGGGAGUGAAAUCCCUUAGUAACGAAGCUAACGCG